UCACCAGGUGACUAGGGUAGGGCGGGAACCAAAAGUGGCAGAGAAGAGUUCCGCUUGGACAUGGUUUCCGCCCGGACCUGAUUUUUAAUCAUUUGUACUUCCUGAUCUCCCUAGCAACACAAUCGGGGUUUUAUUGGAAACAGGUGCGCAGGAUUAAGGGAGCGAUCCAUGAUUGGAAGAGGACAUGAAGACGGGCCAAAUAAAGAGGGCUGUAGCAACGCACAGAGGCAAGUUCAUUUUUGGGCACGAGUUGCUGCACUGCCUAGGGCAGACCCGAUCACACGCUCCGUCCUUGGAGGAGCCGAAGGGCGCCGUUGAUCCACGGGAGCGCUUAUAGCGCAUGGAAAGAGUGCGGCAGCCAAGAAAGGCAAAAAGGACGGAGCGGUGGAUUUUUAAAGGAACACUGCACCGGAGUGUGCUUGUGGUAUACUUUGUGUACGUUGUGUUGCUGCUUUGCAGACGGACCACGCUGGUUGGAUCGCUCUCCUGGAGAAGAGAGUAAGAGACAAACAGCUGACGAAGGAAUAUUGUGGGGCUUCGGUGAGAAAGAGUGGACACAGAGCCAUCGAGAGCACAGUGAACAGAGGUUAUUGGCAACCAAGCGUGAGUAACCGCUAUGAUACUUCUCUGUACAUGACUUGUAUGAAGAGUCGUCCUGGUGUGUGUUCUUGUGUUUCGUGAGGUCCCUGGCCCCACUGGAGAGGAGAGCGUGGGUGAGCCGCGGGUUGACCGGAAGCACGGACGAAGCACCGCCCGCCAGUACGCCAGUGGCCCUGUGGGAAAAAGGAAGUGCAGCGUUCAAACUGCCCAGCCUCUGACGAGACACGAGAUGAUGACAUCUGUUGUGGCCUGAGUCCUAUAGAGAGAGAAAAUCAAGCCCUGUGCCCGGGGUGUGACAACGAGAGCUUCGUCUAUACACUGUAGCGCAACCAGUAAAGCUCUGUGUGGGAACGAGGAUCCCCCGGCUCUGUGAGUAACGCAGCCUGUGAGAUAACCUGUUCUGUGCUUAUAGCAACUACCUACCUGAACCAGUGAAGCUCUGUGUGGGAACGAGGAUCCCCCGGCACUGUGAGUAACGCAACCUGUGAAAUAACCUGUUCUGUGCUUAUAGCAACUACCUACCUGAACCAGUGAAGCUCUGUGUGGGAACGAGGAUCCCCCGGCACUGUGAGUAAUGCAACCUGUGGAAUAAAUCUGUGCUGUGCUUAUAGCAACUACCUGCCUGCAUCAGUGAAGCUCUGUGUGGGAACGAGGAUCCCCCAGUACUGUGAGUAUCGGCGAAGUAUUUACCCUGGUCUGACUGUGUGUGAUUCUGCCUCCAGGAGAAGCGGAGCGCGCCACGGAUCACUGGGCCAGAGCCCCGGUCCCCAGUCUUUUCCCCAAGUGGCCCUGGAGGCAAAGAAGAGCCACAUUAGUUUUAAAUUGCCCUUUCCCCUUUCCCCCUUUUCUUUUAAAUAUUUAAUAAAGUUUAUUUUAAUUAUA